rnacentral:rRNA from 1 species
GGUACCCUAACCGUGCGAAGGUAGCAUAAUCACUUGUUCUUUAAAUAAGGACUUGUAUCAACGGCAUCACGAAGGUCACACUGUCUCCUUUUUCUAAUCAGUGAAACUAAUCUCCCCGUGAAGAAGCGGGGAUAAAACUAUAAGACGAGAAGACCCCAUGGAGCUUUAAACCCUUCAGCAACCCAACUACACAUUCCCAUAUAACUUUAAAGUAAUGCUUAAAGGUUUUAGGCUGGGGUGGCCGCGGAGUAAAAAUUAACCUCCACGACGAAAAGAACUAAAUCUUUAUCCAAGAGUCACUACUCUAAGAAUUAGAAAACUAACGUACAAUGACCCAAUAAUGAUCAACGAACCAAGUUACCCUGGGGAUAACAGCGCAAUCUACUUCAAGAGCUCAUAUCGACAAGUAGGCUUACUACCUCGAUGUUGGAUCAGGGUAUCCCAGUGGUGCAGCCGCUACUAAAGGUUC